rnacentral:rRNA from 1 species
CGUGUAGGUGGUUGCUUAAGUCAGAUGUGAAAUCUCCCCGCUCAACGGGGAAACUGCAUUUGAUACUGAGCGACUUGAGUGCAGGGGAAGGGAACGGAAUUCUCGGUGUAGCGGUGAAAUGCGUAGAUAUUGAGAAGAACACCUGUGGCGGAGGCGGUUCUCUAUCCUGUAACUGACACUGAGGCGCGAAAGCGUGGGGAGCGAACG